rnacentral:lncRNA from 1 species
CGCGACUCCACCUGGCAGCGUCUCGGCGUUGACCCCGCCCCGGGCCCGUGUCUGUAAGUGGAAGCGCAUUCUGGAUAUGCGUUUUCGAUAUACGAAAGCGUAUUUGCUUCCUCUUUUACCUGAAAUACGCUUUCUUAGUUCUGAAAGCGUAUUCGAUUUACACUUCGACACAAAAUAUGUUUCUCUUUGCAGAAAACGUAUUCGACCCAAAGGCGCGUUCAGUUUUUCCUCCAGGGGCCUGUUUGCUAAAAAAUCACCGAUAGGUCCCUGAGCUUCAACCCUUCGUAUCUCGACAACCGUAACUCCGAUUGAGGUGAUUCCAACGCUCACGUUCUCUGUUCGUCGAGCUUUUUCCGUUGGUGUCAUUUUCAUAAUGUUUUCACACAGUGAAAAUGACCACUUUGCCUUGCCCGUAAACAGCCCCCUCCAAGAGAGAACUGUUUCCGCAAUCGUUUCACACUUCUUCCCGAAGUAUUUGUCGACCCCAGGCAAGCCAACCUCUUAUCAUGAGCCCCGAACUUGCAUGUUGACUUUGCUUGCACCUCGUGUGUCUGUUUAGUUGUAGCACUUUCUUGUCUGUUCCGUCUGCUGUUAUUUUAGUCAUGCUAUAUGUUUUUGUUAUCUGUCUUGCAUGCUUAUACCUUCAUGAAAUAAGUUGACAUGCUAGUUUGCUGUUGUUACUGAUAAUAUCAUGCCUCUGUCUAGUUUAAUUUCAUGUUAGUAGUAUCGAUGUUAUGAUAUUCUGUUGCACUAGUGAAAUUACUAGUACUUGUUAUUGCCAUGUUUCGCAUGCUAUCAUUGUUCAUUUGAAAAAGCUUGAUUUUGUUACUGCAUCGGUACGUUGCAUGAUAGUUGUUGCAUUCAUGUUAAAAUGCUCGCAUGAUGAUUAAUGAUGGAGAAGUUAUUAAUAUGACUUAAUAUCAAACCUCCUCCGUCAUCACUGGGAUAUUAUAGUGCCACCAAAUCGAGCAUUCUCUAGUGCAACCACAUUUACCUUGUGGGAGGUCCUAGCUGGGUUUAUUGCCAUGCCUCUCGCCGGUGCCUCCAACUAGGGAAGGUAUGGGUGCGCAUUACCCUGAUCAGGUAGGUGGACAUAAGCCUUGUGUGCCCGGGUUUGGUUUUGAGCUCAUGUCCCCGUUUGGGACCGUUUUGCCAUGACGGUGGCCGUUCGUACCUUUGGUAGGUACGGGGCCACCCAGGACUGAACCCAAAAGGGGUGUUGGUCAAAGUGGCCGGGAGAGUGUCAUGGCAGUAGGUGAGUUUUGUCGGAACAUUGUUGGUCCACAUUAUGGGAGUGCGAAGCCAUGGGUUCCGUGGUGUGGGUAAAUUGCGCUACCUCUGUAGAGUGUAUGUUUAAUCUAUCGAUAGCCGCGUCCUCGGUCAUGGGCACAAGUUCGUAGUAGGUCACACUAUCGGGUAUUGGUCGAAGUGGAGGAUAAACCUGAAAUAACUAAGUUGAUGAUUAAUGUGCAAUAAAAGAAUGUGAUGACUUGGACUAUGGGAAAAUCAUGAGAAGUCACGAUGAUGUGUUGAUAUGACCCCGAGAUGAGGUCUCGGUAAGUCAUGAGUUUGCUCCGGGGAGCCGUGGCAGAGUAAGUGAUUGUUGCAUCAGGUUAAUACAAUAUGUCUUCACGGGAGGUAACUCGUAGUUUAUUUUUAGCAUUCUUUCAUGAUGCCAUGCCAUGUUUUGGAUAUGAUAUGUGUCGGCGUUCUGGGAACAUGGGUCCCCAGACUUGCCUGCCUACGGCCCACGGCGUGGCUAAGUCAGCAGGCCGUACGACCCAUCUUCAUCAACAAGGCAUCCAACACCCUCGUGAGGGGCCAAUCCUCGCGAGGCGGAUGAUGCAAGACCUCCUCAGCAGUGGUCUAGUAAGGCAGGCUCACGAAGAGUGGAGAUAUCAAGGCAGGGCAAACCUCAUGAGGCUCUUGUGACGUGAGCCAUGACGAUCGGCACCAGGCAGGCACCAGCGCGCGCAGCAUCCUUGUUUCCUCUUCGGUGCUAAGGACGCAAGCGCAGGCGAAGAGUACUGAGGCAUCAGGCAAAGGUUGCUAUAUUAGUGCAACGAGACCAAGACCAGGAGGACGGCAAGACGGAGGUCAUCGUGGAGCCCAGGACGGCGUCACCACCAGAGCCUUUCGCAGGCGAAGACCACUUUUGUCAGGAUAGCUUGUACUAGCUGUCCCCCUUCAAAUUUGCCCGCCGUUGUUGGCUCCCUUCCCGCUCAACAUUUGGGAAGAGGACCAGGGCCUAUAUAAGUAGAGCUAGCCACCAAAGUAGGGGCAUCGAGCAGUUCAUCCAGCUCUCACCCGCUAAGUCACCAAGCACACGAACACCUCAACCUCAGGAGGUUGUUCCUUCCCUUGUACUGUUCAUCUUUGGCCCAAGAGGCAAUCCAUCCACCACCACACUAGAGUAGGGUAUUACACCACAAUGGUGGCCCGAACCAGUAUAAAUCUCGUGUCUCUUUGUGUUGCGAGUUCGUCGAGUUCAUCCGCGAGAUCUUAGUGAGCUAGGGCGUAGAUCGGUCGGAGGGAAAGACUUCGCGCGCACCCUAGUGUUCGAACCUUAAGAGUUUGCCGGAACCCCAUAUCCGACAUUUGGCGCGCCAGGUAGGGGUGCACCGUAGCUUCCCUUCCAUCAGUUCGUCGCUCUGUCGUCUCCAUGGCGGACGCUCGCCGUGCUCGAGCUGAGCAUCGGCUGCCCUCACCGCCCGCGUUGCUCAAACGGCUCCCGUCGGUGGGCCACCUCGUCGUUCUCUGUCUCCCGCUGCCAACGCUGCCACCGGUCCGGUGGGGAACGAGCAGCAGGCAUCCUCGUUGCAUCCAUCAGUCCGGCAGGACGGCCGCACCGCCACUCCAUCGCUGGCCCCGGCCGGUUCUUCGUCUCACGCACGCCGCGCUCCCAUGGAGGCGCGGGCCGCACUCCUCGUUGCAAACGAACUCCUGUGCUACCGCCAAGUCGACGACCUCUACGAGGAAUGGCUCGACCGCGUCGCCGAGCUCAUCCGCGCCACAGGGGGCUCUCCAGCGUCGUCCCUCUCUCUACCUCACCCUCAGCCAGCCACGGGCGAUGAGGCUCAUGGCACGCCUCCGCCACCUCUGCCCCAAGACGGUGCCUUGGCACCAAGGCAUGCGGCCCCGCGGCGUGAUCCACCACGCCCGGUGCCCGCGCGCAAAGAAAGAAGCUGCCAAGAAAUCCCUCGGCUGCGAGAAGCUGCACCCGCGCUCCCCGUGCCACCUCGUCAAGACCGCGCACCGCCAGCGGCGGCGCCGCGCGGACCUCGUCAAGACCAAGCUUCACCUCCGAAGUGGGCCCCAGCAACCACGGCCGGCUGCCGUGCCUUCACCCCCGAGCUGUGUAGCAUCGCCUGGCCAGGCAAGUUCAAGCCGGAUCUGCCUCCUCGCUACGACGGCACUGCCGACCCCGCGGAGUUCCUGCAGCUCUAUGAGCUAAGCAUCGAAGCAGCCAACGGCGAUGAGAAACUCAUGGCGAACUGGUUUCCCAUGGCUCUCAAGGAUGGAGCCCGCUCCUGGCUCCUGGACCUGCAGCACGGCUCGAUCUUCUCCUGGGACGAAAUGCGCGACCGCUUCGUCGCCAACUUCCAGGGCACUCGCGACCGCUCGCCGGCCGCGGGUGACCUGUGCCGCAUCAAGCAACAACCAAGAGAGACCCUUCAGAAGUACAUCUAGCGCUUCAACAACACCCACCUCAAGAUCCCCAAGGUCACGGAUGAGGCCAUCAUCUCUGCAUUCUCCGACGGCGUCCGUGAUGUCAAGAUGAAGGAAGAGCUCGCUAUCCACGAGGAGCUCUGCACCUCUCAGGAGCUGUUCAACCUGGCGACCAAGUGCGCAAGAGCUGAGGAGGGGCGCCUCUCUCUCCUUGAGCUGCCAGCCACGGGCGCAAAGGAGAAGAAAGCCAAGGCCAAGGAUGUGAAGCGCAAGGAAGCAGCAAUGCUAGCAGCGGAGCCCGACACCAAGCGGGGCAGGGAUCAGCCCGGGUCGUCCAAGAACAGCCAACCGUUCUGCGCCUUCCACAACCUAAACACCCACAACACCAGCGACUAUCAAGAGCUCAGAGCCAUAUGAGAAGGAUCCUUCGGUCGACGCCCCGAGCGCAGCAACCGGGGCUACGGCCGAGGAGGAGGACGUGGAGGCAGAUGCUGGGACGACCGUGGCCCAUGCCAGGAAUGGCGCGACAGGCCUCGUGAGGACCACUGGCAGGACCAUCCUCGCGAGGGGGCCUGGAGGGACCAGCCUCGUGAGGAUCGCCCCCAAAGCAACGCCGGUCUUCCCUCACUGCCGCCACCAAGAAGGAACGACGACCACCAUCAGGAUGAGGGGGUUGGGGGCUUCCAGGAGCCGCGUGCAAUCGCCUGCAUCUUGGGCGGCACCCAGGCCCCAGCCUCUCAGCGCAUCUUCAAACAGUUCGUUCGCGAGGUGAACGCGGUGCUCCCCAAGCUCGAGGCCACGCGCCCGCUCAAGUGGUCCCAAUGCGCCAUCACUUUCAACUCGGCAGAUCAGCUCAAGUGCGCGGCCACCGCCGGCGCCCUCCCUAUGUUGUGUUCCCCAGUCAUCAGCAACGUGCAGGUCACCAAGACCCUCAUCGACGACGACGCAGGGCUCAACGUCCUGUCCGUCGACACGUUCGACAACCUCCAAGUGCCAUAUGAGCAGCUCCAGCCUACCAAACCUUUCUCAGGAGUGACCGACGGUUCCACCACACCGAUAGGGCAGGUCCGCCUGCCUGUCACCUUCGGAGAGCGCAAGAACUACCGCACCGAGCUCAUCGACUUCGGCGUCACACACAUCCGCCUGCCGUACAACGCCAUCCUUGGGUAUCCGGCCCUGGCCAAGUUCAUGGUGGUCACCCACCACGGCUACAACGUCCUCAAGAUGCCGGGGAGUGGCGGAAUCAUCAUGGUCCCAUGUGAAGAGAGAGAUGCGGUCUGCUCCCUCGAGCGCGCCUUCCAAGCUGCAGCAAUCAACGACCCCGACAGCAAAAAGGAGGACCCCUCGGAGACAAUCCCCAAGAAGAAGCAGCUGCGCCACGCAGGACCUCAGGAGGAUGGCGUCGCGGCAAGAGCCUCAUCAAGAUCAGCGUCCGUCCCAGGGGCGCCUCCCUACAUCGCAUAGGGAGGUGCACCCGGCGCCCUCCUCGGGUAGGGCUCGGGGGCUCUUUUCUGGAGGGCCUCAGACCUUGCCAACCUCACGAGGGAGGCGCUUGGGCACCACUUGGAGGCAUGUUUCGCGGCACGUUUCCCUCAGGAGAACACAGGGCAAGGAGCGCCCACCACUCAGGAGUUUAUCGCCAAGACCACUCAGGAGCUGCAAGACGCAAGAGCCAUGCACGGCGACAGCCGCUCACGAGGCGCAGCUCCCCAUCCUGGCGAGGAUGAUGGGCUGCGUGUCUGCAUCGACGUCCCAGGGCUCAACAGGGCCGCAUCUCAGGAGCGCUUCUGGCCUUCGCGUGUGGGCCGCUGCGAGAGCCUGCCACACAGCUACGUUCGCAUGCCCUUCGGCUUGCCGAGCGUGGCGUCAACCUAUCAUCGCAACAUGCGACGUGUCCUCGCGGCUCAGGAGGCCAGGUACCAUGUCGUUCUGGAAGAGAUGGAGACAGUCUUUAGGGAACCUCCCGAGCCCCCAGAGUCUCCCGAGGCUCAGGGCUCCGGUGGCUCAUGAGGAGUCAUUUCUUCGACGCACGCCUUCAGUUGCACCAACUCUACUUUGUCUACAGAACCAGGUGACAUCUUCCAAGCUCGUUUAGCUAGGAUUCCCCUCGGGCUACAUUAUUCCCAGGCCGCGUGGGUCCGUCCCUACGGCAUGUAUCCCUUUUGCUUAUGUCUUUAGCUUACCUUACUGGGGGCACCCCUCGGGUUGCAUCAUCCCCGAGCCGCUCGGGCCGGAUCCGGUGGCAUGUAUCUUCCUGCAUCUACCCAAGUUGAUCUGCUUUCUAUGCUUAACCCGCUUACGGCUAUCGCCUGCUCGAUCAUCGCCUCCCACGGGGGCUCCUCACAGGCACGGCGUUGGAGCAUGGGUCCGUCCCUGCCACGUCAACAAAUCUGAGCGGUCGAGCUCUGGCACGCGGCACGCCGCACGCACGUCACCUCACCAGGCCCUCAGUGCCAUCACUUCAUCCAGACCAACCGGCAGCAGGCUGGCAGCCAUAACGGCAAACCGUGUUUCUUCUUGUUCCUAUUCACAGGGAUCCCAUGGGGAGGAUAAUAGGCGGCGCCGCGGGUCUCCUUUACUCUCAUGCAAUUUGCUUGCGCGUUAAAAGGGGGGCUCCUGAGAAUCACGACUCAGGAGCUCUUACUGGCUCUCCAGCCCUCACCCCCUGGCCUUGACCACGGCAUCGCGACCUGGCAUACCAGCGGCGGCUGAGCUCGCUCGAGGGUCGGGACCUGAGGACGUAGAGCACUAAGGAGAGCACGAGAGGAAGGAAACUCAUAUGGGCCGGCCUGGUUAUGCCGCACAAGUUGGCGCGCAGGCCUAGCGCACCAUCAGGAAUCGCCGCGAAGUCAACAAGAUAAGUCCCACUCUCGGAUCAGCUAAAUGUUGGGGCCUAAUGGUCACCCUCGCCUUGCCGCAACCCCGUUGCGGCCACGUCAACUCCCUUUCUCGCCCUACUAUGGCUGCUUGAGUGCUAAGGGGGACCUCCUGAGCAUCGCGCCUCAGGGGCUCUUACUGGACCUUGGGCCGUGCACCUCCUGGCCUUGACCACGGCACGCGACCUGGCAUACCAGCGACGGCUGUAGCCUACCUGGGGACCGGGACCUGUCAGCAUAGAGCAACGAGCUAUCGCGAGGAAAGAAAGGGGGGACCCAGCCUUAACGGGACAUGCGUUCACCAAAUUUGCAUAAUAGGGAAGAUAAGCACAAAAGACAUUACAGACCCUUACAUGCCCCCACGGGGUGAUUCAUGAUUCUUCGCAGGGAACAAAAGCUAAAACUAAGGGGAAUCCUAUCUACACCCUCCCGUGGCAGAUGGCAUCAUCAACAGUGGGCCACGGGAGGCCGGCGCCAAACCCAUCCAGAUUAGCAGCGGCGACGGCCGGACGCCGCAGCUCUGCUCCGAGCGCGGCGAGAGCUCAGGGGCACGUAGCUGUCAUCGCUCGUCUCCGGAGUCUCGUGGAGCUCAGGAGAGCUGCUGGACUCCCAAGGGCUAAUGCUGGUAGAGUAGCCGCGAGCGGGGGGCGCGUCAGCUUGGCGCUCCUCUCCGGAGCAGCACUCUAGGCGGCGGCCCUCAGCAUCGAAGACCUUGAAGAAGAGCGUGGAGGCGCCGUCGUACUCGAAGUGGAUCGCAAGGGCGCCCCUCGCACGGCAGACCCGCGCAAUCUCGCCCCAGCCGUGAGUCAUAAAGAUCUUGCCGGUGGGGACUGCUUCGAUCUCUCCUCCGGUCACUGGAGCGCUGCAGUCGGCGUACUGCAACCAGAGAUCGAGAGGCCCCCUCAGCGGCAUCACGCCAGAGAAGAACCGUGGAAAGCGGAUCUAGGAGCUUGGAGGCAUCGGCGCCCACAGCACCAGCUCGCAUGAGGAGUCCGCGGCGUGGAUUCCGGGGGCGACGACGCGCGUCGCUGUGGCGCGGUGGCCCCGGGCGCGGCGUGGGCGACGCUGCUCGUUGCUCCGUCCUCCCGAGCCCUCGGCUCGGGCGUACAAGGGUAGCGGAUACCCCGGAGGAGGCCGCUCGCACCAGGGCCUCGUCACCACCUGCAUCGCCGCUUCAUCACGGCGGUGGACCGACCUCUUCUUCGGCGGAAGUGGCCCCGGGUCAUCGCGAGGGGUCUUUCCCUUCUCUACGGCGGAGAACCUUCUGAUAGGCGCCAUUGUCAUUAGUAGUGGAGCGAGGAAGAAGAAGCAAGCAAGCAAGCAGGGAUGAGAUGGGCAACGGGGGCUCCGCCCCCAUCCCCAUUUAUAGCAAGAGAAGGCCAACCGGCGCCUCCCACGAUCGCAGGUAAUGAUGGUUUUCCUUGCAUGUCGCAGGGACUAGUCAAGUCGUACAGUUGCCGAGGCAGCGUGGGGAAGCGAAGACGCCCACGUCCAAUCAAAUUCCACGCGUCAACCGAGGCCGCAGGCUUUUGGGGCCCGCGGUGCUCCGUACUUGACCCUUGGCUUCGCCGCGAAGCCAAGCCCAAGCGCACCUUGGGCCCGGGGGCUACUGUCGGUGUUCUGGGAACGGGGGUCCCCAGACUUGCCUGCCUGCGGCCCACGGCGUGGCUAAGUCAGCAGGCCGUACGGCCCAUCUUCAUCAACAAGCCAUCCAAGACCCUCGCGAGGGGCCAAGCCUCGCGAGGCGGACAAUGCAAGACCUUCUCAGGAGUGGUCUAGUCAGGCAGGCUCACGAAGAGCGGAGAUAUCAAGGCGGGGCAAACCUCACGAGGCUCUCGUGACGUGAGCCAUGACGAUUGACACCAGGCGGGCGCCAGCGCGCGCAGCGUCCUUGUUUCCUCUUUGGUGCUAAGGAGGCUAGCGCAGGCGAAGAGUACCGAGGCAUCAGGCAAUGGUUGCUAUAUUGGUGCAACGAGACCAAGACCAGGAGGACGGCAAGACGGAGGUCAUCGUGGAGCCCAGGACGGCGUCACCACCAGAGCCUUUCGCAGGCGAAGACCACUUUUGGUAGGAUAGCUUGUACUAGCUGCCCCCCUUCAAAUUUGCCCGCCGUUGUUGGCUCCCUUCCCGCUCAACAUUUGGGAAGAGGACCAGGGCCUAUAUAAGUAGAGCUAGCUACCACGGUAGGGGCAUCGAGCAGUUCAUCCAGCUCUCACCCGCUAAGUCACCAAGCACAAGAACACCUCAACCUCAGGAGGUUGUUCCUUCCCUUGUACUGUUCAUCAUUAGCCCAAGAGGCAAUCCAUCCACCACCACACUGGAGUAGGGUAUUACACCACAAUGGUGGCCCGAACCAGUAUAAAUCUCGUGUCUCUUUGUGUUGCGAGUUCGUCGAGUUCGUCCGCGAGAUCUUAGUGAGCUAGGGCGUAGAUCAGUAGGAGGGAAAGACUACGCGUGCACCCCAGUGUUCGAACCUUAAGGGUUUGCCGGAACCCCACAUCCGACAAUAUGCUUUGCUGUUGUUAUGAUAGAAGUGAGUUUGAUAUGCCAUGCUAGUAGAUGCUAUGAUGUUGUUCAUGCUUAGUUCCAUUUAUGAUUCUAGUUAAUAUCAUGCCAUGCUUAGAAGUUGUGUUGAAGUAGACUGUUGCAUAUGCUUGGUUCUUGCUUUGUCAUCUGUUUGUUUGGAUGCUAUGUAUUUGGUUGUCUUGCAAGUACAUUCAAUCUACUGACCUCGCGUGUCAUGCCAGUUUUGUAGGUCGUGCCCGAAUUGUUCGCUUGUUCCGUCGUGCUCGGCCGUAAUCUUGCCAGUCCUGUGAGUUGUGGAGCCCAGCCAGAGUUGAUGAGCCGCCAAACCAAGACUUCCGCCGCCAGUUAAAUAGACUUCCGCUGCCAUAUAAUAGCCUUAGGGCUAUGCCAGAUAAUUGUAUUCAUCAAUGAUGUAAUCUUAUACACAUGUAUUUGAUGAUUAUUAUUGUACUUAGAAUGCUGUACCAUGG